GUGCCAGCAGCCGCGGUAACACGUAGGGGGCGAGCGUUGUCCGGAUUUAUUGGGCGUAAAGAGCUCGUAGGCGGUUUCGUAAGUCGGGUGUGAAAACUCUAGGCUCAACCUAGAGACGCCACCCGAUACUGCGAUGACUAGAGUCCGGUAGGGGAGUGUGGAAUUCCUGGUGUAGCGGUGAAAUGCGCAGAUAUCAGGAGGAACACCAACGGCGAAGGCAGCACUCUGGGCCGGAACUGACGCUGAGGAGCGAAAGCGUGGGUAGCGAACAGGAUUAGAAACCCGCGUAGUCC
rnacentral:rRNA from 1 species